rnacentral:piRNA from 1 species
UCGGAGGCAUCAAGGAUUCUAGGCAGC